rnacentral:tRNA from 1 species
GGGCCAGUCAGCUCAGUCGGUUAGAGCGUGGUCCUGACAACACCAAGAUCGCGGGUUCGAUCCCCAUUUGAUCCC